AACGGAAGCGGCAAGUGCUAUUCGACCUGAUUGGGCGUAAAGGGCAUGUAGGCUGUUGAUUAAGUUUAGAAUGAAAUACCUGAGCUUAACUUGGGAACGUUUUAAAGACUUUUUGACUAGAGUUUACAGCGGGCAGACGGUACCAUCAGUGUAGAGGUGAAAUUCGUAAAAAUUGAUGGGACCACCAAAUUGCGAAGGCUAUCUGCUAGUGGUGAACUGACGCUAAGGUGCAAAAGCGUGGGGAGCGAACAGG
rnacentral:rRNA from 1 species